rnacentral:rRNA from 1 species
UACAGAGGUCUCAAGCGUUGUUCGGAUUCAUUGGGCGUAAAGGGUGCGUAGGCGGCGGGGCAAGUCUGAUGUGAAAUCCCGGGGCUCAACCCCGGAACUGCAUUGGAUACUGCUCUGCUAGAGUACUGGAGAGGAGACUGGAAUUCACGGUGUAGCAGUGAAAUGCGUAGAUAUCGUGAGGAAGACCAGUGGCGAAGGCGGGUCUCUGGACAGUUCCUGACACUGAGGCACGAAGGCCAGGGGAGCAAACGGG